CAGACUGGUAGCGCUAAGCUGUGCACUGGCGGGUGUGGGUUUAGGACAGAAGUCGCUGGUGGGCUGCGCGUCUGUUGGUUCCUUGGCGGGCGCCAGCUGGGCCUGUUCUGUCACCCUCGCCGUGCGGCGGGCCCCAGCAGCACCAUGGCUUGGAUGUUCAUGAGAGAUUCUGCCUGGAAAUACUUACAGUCUGCCCAUCGUGGAGGAGAUAGGAACUAUUCCCAUUAUACCUCUCGUGAUUUUUCUUCCCAGUUUGGGUUAGAAGACUUUCUAUGUACAGAUGACAUUCCUGGGACAGAUGAAGAUACAGAUUCAGCUGUUUUAUUUGGAACCUUGCGAGGAAAUGUGGUUGGACUACGUUAUUACACAGGGGUUGUUAACAAUAAUGAAAUGGUUGCACUUCAGAGAGAGCCCAAUAACCGCUAUGAUAAAAAUGCAGUAAAAGUAAACAAUGUGAAUGGAAACCAGGUUGGCCAUAUCAAAAAAGAACUUGCAGUGCCCUUGGCGUAUAUCAUGGACAACAAGCUAGCAAUAGUUGAAGGGGUUGUCCCUUAUGGAGCAAAGAAUGCCUUUACUAUGCCUGUACAAAUGAGUUUUUGGGGAAAAGAAGAAAAUAAGCAAGCUGUUCUAGAUAAAUUGAAAAUGCAUGGAUUUAAAUUGGCUCCUCCUUCAAAAAGUUCAGAAUUUGCUUUUGGAUCUAGCUGGGUUUCUGGGAGAGCUGGACCAAGCUAUAGUGCUCCAGGACAUGCUGCUGUGCAGAUGACAACAGAACAGCUUAAAAGUGAGUUUGACAAAUUGUUUGAAGAUGUGAAAGAAGAUGAUAAAACUCAUGAAAUGGAAGGAGCAGAGGCUGUUGGAACACCAUUACUUCCACACCAAAAGCAGGCUUUAACUUGGAUGGUUUCACGUGAGAACAGUAAGGAGUUGCCACUGUUUUGGGAAGAGAAAAAUAACUUCUACUAUAAUACACUUACAAACUUCGCUGAAAAAGACCGACCAGAAACUGUUCUUGGAGGAAUACUGGCUGAUGAUAUGGGACUGGGUAAAACACUUGCAACAAUUGCAUUGAUUCUUACCAACUUUCAUGAUGGCAAACCUCUUCCUGUUGAAAAGAUUAAAAGUGAUCAAUUGCAUAAGGAAUCUGUUGUCACUGGUGUGAAAAAUGAAGGACAUGAACUUUUGAAAGAGACCAGCUGUAAUGUGGAGCCCAACAUUUCUAAUGUAAAGAAGAAGAGUGAAAUUAUUCAGUCACAAUAUUCUAGUUCCCGACCAAAAAGAGCUAAAGCUGAGAAACCCAAAUAUACAGUAUGCAGUGACUCAGAAGAAUCUGAAGAGUGGCUACCACAACAAACAAGAACCAAAUGUGAAAAAGAUCUCCCAGUAACCAGAAAGAGAAGUAAAACAGCUGCUUGUAUUAUCCAAGAAGACACAGGCUUUGUAUCUGCUCUUGCAUCUCCAUCUGCUCCAUUAAAAAAGAAAGCAAAGAAAAAAGGUACUGGAAGUGUACAGUCUGUUAAGAAAAAUGAUUCUGAAGAGAGUCCCAGAACAACACUGAUCAUAUGUCCGCUGUCUGUCCUAAGCAUCUGGAUUGACCAGUUUGAACAACAUAUCAGGCCAGAUGUUCACGUGAAUAUAUAUGUUUAUUAUGGUCCUGACCGUAGCAAAGACCCAGCAUUUCUUUCAAAACAAGACAUAGUACUAACAACCUACAACAUUUUAGCCAGCGAUUAUGGAAGCAGAGGCGAUAGCCUGUUACACAGAAUAAAGUGGCUGAGAGUGGUGUUGGAUGAGGGGCACACUAUUCGAAACCCAAAUGCUCAGCAAACUAAAGCUGCAUUAAAUUUGGAGGCACAGAGAAGAUGGAUAUUGACAGGCACUCCUAUCCAGAAUUCCUUAAAGGAUUUGUGGUCUCUUCUCUCCUUUUUAAAACUGAAACCUUUUACUGAUAGAGAGUGGUGGCACAGAACAAUCCAGCGCCCUGUCAUGCUGGGAGAGCAAGGGGCACUGAGGCGUUUACAGGCCCUAAUUAAAAACAUCACCCUUAGGCGAACGAAAACAAGCAAAAUUAAAGGAAAGCCUGUUUUGGAGUUACCAGAACGUAAGGUAUUUAUUCAGCAUGUUACGCUUACAGAGGAAGAGAGAAAAAUCUAUCAGUCUGUGAAGAACGAAGGCAAAGUUGCUAUUAGCAGGUAUUUUAAUGAAGGAACUGUUCUGGCACAUUAUGCAGAUGUCCUUGGUGUCUUGCUCAGAUUGAGGCAGCUGUGUUGCCAUCCUCAUCUUUGCACAAAUACAUCGUCUUCCAGUUGUCAAAUAGGUGAGAGUACUCCUGAAGAAUUACAUGAGAAGUUAGUAAAUAAAAUGAAGUUGGUUCUCAGCUCUGGCUCAGAUGAAGAAUGUGCAAUUUGCUUGGAUUCUCUGAACCUUCCUGUGAUAACACACUGCGCACAUGUGUUUUGUAAACCAUGCAUUUGUGAAGUCAUCCAAAGUGAACAGCCAAAUGCCAAAUGUCCUCUUUGUAGGAACGAACUUCGAGUAGAACAUUUGGUAGAAUGUCCUCCCGAGGAGUCGGAUUCUAGCAUUGAGAAGAAGGGUGAUCAGGAAUGGAUAUCCAGUUCAAAAAUCAAUGCUCUAAUGCAUGCUUUGAUAGACCUAAGGAAGCAGAAUCCAGCUGUAAAGUGUCUGAUUGUUUCUCAGUUCACCACUUUCCUGUCUCUAAUAGAAACACCACUGAAAGAAUCGGGGUUUGUGUUUACUCGUUUGAAUGGGUCCAUGGCACAGAAGAAGAGGGUGCAAGCAAUUCAGAGCUUCCAAGACAGCCAAACAGGGUCCCCGACCAUAAUGCUGCUAUCCUUAAAAGCUGGUGGAGUUGGUUUAAAUCUGACAGCUGCUUCACGAGUGUUUUUAAUGGAUCCUGCUUGGAAUCCUGCUGCAGAAGACCAAUGUUUUGACAGAUGUCACAGACUUGGCCAGAAGCAAGAUGUUGUUAUCACUAAGUUCAUUGUGAAGAACUCAGUGGAAGAAAAUAUGCUGAAAAUCCAGAACAAGAAGAGGGAACUUGCAGCAGGAGCCUUUGCAGCUAAAAAGCUUACUGUCCAGUUUGUUCACCUUACAAAUAAAAAUACACGUUUUCUACCUCCAAGUGCUGCAAUCUCCACCUGGGAUCUGAGAAUCAAGCUGGAUUUUGCCUGUUGCUUGCAUUGCUGCUGCUAAUAAAUAUUCAGCAAUCACAACUGCCCACUAAAAGAGUCUGUUGAUGGUGCAUAUGAGAGAGAGAAUCCAGCUGCCUGUCUCAAAGCUGUGUUGGCUCUGCAGGGAUAACACAAAUACAGUCUUAUUUGAUUCAGUAAGAAUGUAUUGCACCCCUCAUACCAGGAAGCCCUGAAAUUCACAAGAUUUGAAGACAACAGUCAGCACAAAAAGUGGUGAGAUUCUCUGAAAUUUCAAGAUCAGGAAGUGUAGGCAUCUUGCAAGGGUUUGGGAAGAAGCAGGGGUGAUACUUACCCAUAGUUAUCAAACCUAAGAAAAGGCUUUGAUUUAAUAUUUGUGCUGAGGCUUUCUUGUUUUUUUCCCCACCCAGUUUGGCCAUUCCUGGAUUUUACUAAGGGCUGGUGCAGUGAUUGAGAAAAGGGGUGACAUACUGGAAAUGACUGACCCAAUGAAGGUUUAAGCAGUUUUGUUUCUGAGUGUACUAAUUUGACUCUGUCAAUUGCACUCAUUUGCUGUAGUCAAGUAGAGGGACAUCCACUCAUUUCAUGCCCCAAAAGUGCAAACAGCUUCAGUGUUGCAAGAUACAGUAAGAAUAGUGCUUAGCAGUUGCCUUCUUCAAAGGGCUCUAUAAACAUUAAUCAGAUAAUCCUCAGAGCUAUGAGGCAGGUAUUAUCAUUCCUAUUUUAUAGAGAAAGCAAAUGAGGCUCAUAGAGAUUAAAGAGCAUAAUUUUUACUCAUUUAUGCUAGUGUAAAAAUACAGUGGCGUUAAUGUGGAGUUUCCCUUAAGUGACUUCAAGGGAGUUACUUCAGUCUUAUACGGAUGUAAAUUAGAACAGCAUUGGCCCUAAGUGAUUUGCCCGGCACUAUGCAGCAAAUCAGUGGCACAGCGAGAAUCAGAAUUCAGAAGAACCCACUCCCCGAUCUGUGCUCCGUCGUCAAGCCUUUACUCAUCAUAUAACACAGUAGACUUUGUGUGAAACUGCAGGUAGAUACUCCUGGGUUCUUGACCUAGGUGUGUCUGCAUGGAAGCAGAUUAAUAAUGCUUCCUUUUUAUAGGAGUUCAGUUUAAUAAAGUUGAAAUCUGUAGGACCUGCAGGUCUGCACGUAAAAGCUGCCAUUCAUUAGUCAAGGCUUAAACUAGAGUGGUGAUUGGAGAGAGAUCCCUUUUAUCAUCUGUAUAGCAGUGCAAACAGGCUGCACUGCUGGAAUUUAAAGCCUCCUAUGUAAGCAGCAUAUAUACACUGAAGGGAAGGUGCCCUGCCAUAGUAAUGACUACAUGGAUCAGAAGCAAAUGUUAACUAAACCAGACCCGAAGGAUUCCCUCCCAAAUCAGAUUAUAGUAGUAGUAUAGCUCUUAUAAGAUAAAUAAUUGUUCUUUUACUUCAAAAUAUAGAAAACAACUUCCUGCUGUCACAUUUACAGCUUCCAUAACAGCUGUACCAAGUAUCUUUGCCAUCUCAGCUGUAUCACUCCAAAUAAUUCCCCCUACAUUCACUGUUCAAUAUCUGAAUUUACUCCCUGUGUCACAGUUCUCACAUCUGUUAGCUGUAGUUAAGAGUCUUGCAUAUAUCCAAUGCAAUUUUAAAAACUCUUUCAAGAUAGCAGUGUUGUAGUGGUGUUGGUCCCAGGAUAUUGGAGCGACAAAGUGGGUGAGAGAAGAUCUUUUAUUGGGCCAAUUUCUUUUGGUGAAAGAGACAAGCUUUUGAGCUAUGUAGAACUCUUCUUCAGACUUCAGCUACGGAGCUACACAGGUCUCACCAACAGAAGUUGGUCCAAUAAAAGAUAUUACCUCACCCACCUUGUCCCUUUAAAAUAGUGAGUCAAGUUAAGAAACUCGGUAUCAUUUCUGACCAUGUCCUUUCCAUUGAUUAGCCCCCAUGUGUCAGAGAUGGUGUAAAGGUGUUUUUCCACAUGGUUUGCACAGACCACACAAUUGUUUAUCUCAUGGUACCCUCACAACAGCAGCUCAUGCCCUUUUCACUGCACAACUUAAUUCCUUCUUAUCAGGUUUUCAGCAUCUCUAUUGCUCACAGAUUGUUCAGAAUGGAGCAGCAUGUUUUCUCACUGGGGUGAGCAAUUGCAGUCACAUUACACCUGCCCUCUUUCCUCUGCAUUAGCUGUUUAUAAAGUGGCAGAUUGAAUUUAAGUUGUUGAUUUUUUAAAAUCUUUUAAUGGUGUAGACCUGGUCUACAUUUGCACUGUCUUUCAUGACUUGGUUUGAUGGCUGUUUGCACUCUUAUGUCAAAAUCCUAGAUGGGCCUAAAGCAAACCCUCAGAUCUGAACACAGUGAAUUUUGCAUGAAGGUUUGGUUAAUCCUAGAUGGCUGGGCCAUGGCUCUACAAUGGAAUGAACCAAAACUGGAAUCCAAACUCUGUGGAAGUUUGGAUCUGGUGCCAAAUCAAACUCAUGGUCCAUCUAGUCCAGUACCCUGUAUCUGGCCAGUUCCAGGGGAUUCAGAAGAAGAUGCAAGAAAUCCUAUAAUGGACAAGUUUCAAAGACCAUGUUUUUUGUGGAAGUUUCUGCAUAACCCCAGCAGUCAGUGCUUAUUCUCUGAGGCCUGUGGCUUUGAGUAUUUUUUGGUCUUUGAUAAUUUUUGAAUCUUGUCUGUUGUAACUGUGAGUGUUUUUAUUAUUUAAAUAAAAUGUCUAAUCCAUUUUGGAAUCCUGCUAAAGUCUUGGCAGCAGUACUGUCUUGUAACAGUGAGUUCUACAGGUUAAUUUUACAUUGUGUAAAAUAGUAACUAUAGAUUGUAGAGAUCCUCCCACUUCACAAUUCUCCAGUAUCUCUCAACAGAAGCACCGUUUAAAGUGGGAAUAGUUUUCACUGCCUUCUGAAUGGUUCAGAUGCCCCUGUUUUGGUAUUUGGAGGGGGCGCUCUAUAACCUCAAAACAGUCUUGUUUACAGGGUACACACUGCAUAGUUUAGAUCAAAAUGUCUUUAAAAUAAUCCCAUCUUCCACCGAGAGCAUGCCUACUUUACUGAACUUCUUUAUAAAAAUAAUUUAUAGCUAGGGAGUUUCACAACCAUUAUUUUAAAUCUAAGUUUAUUUUAUUGCUUCUAAUACUGGCUGAUUUGUGUUAUG